GCGAGCCCACUUCUGCCCUCUUCCUACGCUGGGCGGCUCCAAACCCGCCGCGAGGGCUGAGGUGUUCACACCUGCCCACGGCAGCCUGCCUCGCCCUCAAGCGCCUCAAAGCUUCCUAAGCGCUUACAUUGGUCUUGGGACAGCCGACUUUGGCUUCUUUGUUUGUUUGAGGGACCGCGGAAGUGGCGGGGAAUGUGCCCCCGCUUGAGACCGCUUAUUGUGAGCCCUCAACGGAAAUCCUGCACGGAAGGCAACCGCCUCCCCGCUCGCGAAGGCUUCAUUUGCUCUGAGUUAUCAUUGAGAACUAAAUGGAGAAGAAAAGAACUGAAGGCCUGAAGAUAUGUCAUCUGUAGAAAAGAUGGACAUCUGAAAUCAUCAAACCCUUGAGAGAAACAGCCCUCAUUCUUUUAUGAGACAACCUGGAAGAAAACAGGACUCUGAAGAUUUGUCUCCAUAUUCUCUGGAAAGAUGUACUCUGUUUGCAAUAAGAGGGAGCCACAUGGUUUAUUAGAUGGUUAUUAAUUGAGCAUUCUGUGCAAAGAAGUUUGUGCCUUAGAUUUAGAAUUCCACCCUCAGUUGGAAUACAGAUGAUCCCUAACAAGUCACAUGAAAAAAUGAACUGUGGAGCCAGAAGAGUGAGUUCUUGGAGAACUAAGGGCCAGAGACCUGUGAGCAAGAUUUGAUAAUUUUAUAAAAAUUAAAAGACGAUUUGAAAUGUUAUUGGUCUUACUAAAACUUUUACUUGUGAACUGCAAUUGAUGACAUGAUCACUUGUGCCAAUUAUAAUUUUAUACCAAAGGACUGCAGAGCAUUGGAUGGGUUUGUUGGGCAGGUUUCUCACAAACGCUGACAGAAAGGUAUGACGAAGGAUGGGAGGACAAACUGGGGGGGUGCCAAGUAGAAAAACAGAAGCGAUGGCUAAGUGCUCGUCCUGGACUCUGCCCUUUGAUAAGGGACUGAAGGUCCCUUAUGAUCUUCUUUCAAAUUCCACCGUCACAGUUUUAGUCACAUCCAUCUAUAAUAUUAUUUACUAUCAGACUUUUCUUUAAAUUGACUCGCUUUUUCACUUUAGCCUUAUCCCAAGCAAUAAUGCAUAUAAAUCAUAAGUUUGUUGUAAUAGAUUUUUUGUAAUACUAAUCAAAAUUAAAUUUAUUCCCCUGUAACAGAGAUAA
rnacentral:lncRNA from 1 species